GAUAUGGCAUGGUCUAAAGACGACAGGGCGUCCUUUUCACAUCCACAUGUGCACAACCGAGAGAAGUGCAUGAGCAUCAGAGAAGAAUUUAUUGUGUAUUAAAUAAAGGUCUCAGCAUAUCAAUUCCAUCCUUGGGGAAGACUUCUCUGGCCACUGUACCUAAGAAUGUAAGCUCCAUAAGGACAGGAACUUACUAUAGAAACAUCAAUAUGCGA